rnacentral:lncRNA from 1 species
UUCCACCCAUUUUUCCGACGAAUUGAACCACCUAACCACUUGGGAAACACUCUAAGACCUAUCCUCUAUCCUUCCCACCCCAAAUUUGGUGAUAAUUGGCCUCCAAAUUAGCAAAAUCGCACCGGUGGGUGCGAUGAACCCUAGCCUUCGAUUCUCUCAAUUCUGAAAUGAUUUCUUUCAAUUGCCACCACCCAUGGCAUCCUCUUGAGGUUUAGAACAAAGCCCAAGCAAUGGUUGGGACGGCGGAGUUGAUUUGAGGACGGAUUGAGCACACCCAAAACCUAGGGUUUCCGACGGGUUUUGUUGCAAUUAGAGGCCUUACCGAUCGAAUUGGCCUUGGACAUAGGUAUGAAAGUUGCUCUACUCAUUAAGAUCUUCAUUUCUGUAAAUUUUGGUAAUUUUUUGAAAUAGUUGGAUUUUCCGGCGAGCCGGGGCGGCCGACCGCCACCCGCGGCGGCGCGUGCGGCGGCAUGUGGCCAGUGGGCCGCCAAUGUUAAUUUUAGGUUAUAUUUGAUGUCUUGAGUUCAGUUAUGAUAGUGGUUUAACGUUAGUUGAUCAUUUGGACUUAAUUUCGAUACGAUUCAUGGUUAGGCUAAAAGGUGAAUUGACGAUCCAACCGUCGGAUCAUCACCAAACUUUGAUACGUAAUAGUACGUAAUAUUUGAGGAUUACAGGAACUUACAGAUCUGGAAUCCGAUUUACGGAUCUUUCGGAAUUGGAGUUAUAAGUUCAUAAUAUAAAAGGUUAACCGCCACUCGGUUUUGGAAAAUGGCGGAGAUCCAACCGUCGGAUAGUAACGAAAUUUUAGUAUGUUGUUCUAGAAGCUUAAUGUGUACCUUGGGAAGUAACGGAUUGGAAAUUUGAGUUGUGGAUCUUUCAAAUUGAGUUAUGUGGGGUUAUGACCCUACCGUCGAACUUAGUCGACGAUUGACCUUUGAUCAACGGGUCUCACAUUAUUCUUGAAUUCCUUUGUGGAUGUGUGUUAUGUGAAUUUCAUAUUCUAUGAAUAAGAGUUCUAAGACGUGGUUUGAUAACUGUUUUAGGAGCCGAGCGUUCGGGACGCCUUGGUUCUGAUGUUAGGGAGUCGUAGCGCGGACCCCAGGUGAGUGGGCAGUUUUGUUUUCGUAUUACCUAUAUACUACUGUUUUUCCCAGAAAAUGCAUUUAUAUGAAAAUAUGUUUUAAAAUGUCAUGCAUGCAAUCGAUGAGAUAUUUGAGUUGAUAAUUGAUGCAUAUAUAUAUGAAUUGACGCUGUGGACGCACAGGUGAGUUUUACAUUAUUCAUACGAUUUAUUUUAUGUGAAUUGCAUUGAAAGCUCAUAACCUGCACCCUAGGUGUUAGUGCUUAUAUUAUUCACUACACCGCACGCUCGCCUUGGAUCCAAUUAGGUGAAUGUCGUACAGACCAUGUGAGGGUUCCGACAUGCUAGUCGUAUAGAUCGCUAGAUGUGAUUCCGACUAGUGGGUGACCUUAGUUAUGCGCGCUGAUGAUUGAUGAGAGAAGCACUAGAGCUUAUUCUUACACAUUUCAUCGUACAGACUACCUUACAUAGUUCCGAGUGACGUGCAGAGUAGGGUCGUAUAGGUCACUGUGGUGACUCCGGCUGAGUGGGAUAUUGAGCUAUAGAAUCAGCCGUACAGGACCACUGUAGGGUCUCCGGUUGAUUUAUUAUUUCACCUGAUUUAUAUUGAUGCAUUCAUAUUAUAUUUUGGCAUGGCAUGGCAUAUUCUUUCGGAAAAGCGUGAAGGAUUGUGAUUUGAGCUUUUGAUGAUAUAUAUGUUUAUAUACGAUUAUAUAUUAUUUUCUGGGAAAGUAUACAGGUUUUUCAGAGAGGGGUUAUAAUGUUGUUAAAUGAAAUGUUUUCGAAAAACUUUGUUUUACUGACCCACUCAAUUUUGUUUUGGCGCCCCUCCAGGUUCUAGUAGCAAAGUUCCUUAUCGACAAGGAUUCGUGGCAUGUCCCUGUUAAGGUGGCUACUUAUGUGGUACGGUUUCUACCUACAUUGCUGUACUUGACUAUGCUCUGACAUCACUUGUGAUUUGGGUUCAUACCCACCCACAGUGCACUCUGUUAUUAGGCACCUUUAGGUUUAAAAUUAUUCGCAUCUUUCCUUAUCAUCACUUUAUGGCUUCGUCACCUUCCAGGUGGCGGCCAGCACAGCUCGAUUCCGGGUCCUAGUGGACAUUCCGGAUCGAGGUGUGUCAGUUUGGUAUCAGAGCAUAAGUUGGGCAGUAUUGCGUUCAUCACAUGCGUGAUGUGAGCAUUAUUGGUUUUGCCACCUCGUCGAUUAUGAGAAAUGUAGUAGCUCCUCUAAGUUUUGGUAGUUGGGUCGAUUUCUUGAUGUUUUAAAAGAGCACUCCGGCGAAUGUUCUCAUAAUUAAAGUGAAGAAAUUCUCUAUCAAGGAGCGAAUCAGAGGCAAGAGGAUGGCCUAAAUUAGGGUUAGCGCAUCAUUAGGUGUUAUCAGAUGCUUUGCCAAUUAAUUUUAUACUUAUCCUCUAGCCAUCAACAAUAAACUGUUGAGAUUGGAACUCCGGAAUAGUUUGAUUUCUUGACAGUACCUAUUGGAUUAUUACCUAUUGGAAUUCUUGUGAAGUCUACCUUGUUAAAACUCAAAGAUAGUCUCGUGUGACGAUGGUGCUAAAGUAAUAGCAUUUAAUGGAAAAGCACUUUGGAAAGAUCACUUUGGGUGUAUGAUUGGACUUGGAAAGUGAUAUUGUACACUCUUAGUACGAAGUAUCUUGUAUGUGUAAAGGAUGUGAGAAUCAAUAGUCAUGGUGUUGGACCUAUGCUAUGCUUAUGUGGUGUUUUAGUGGAUGGUAGCUUCACUUAAGUGGGAAGCUGUAUCCUUCCAGCCCUAAAGCUUAAACUAUUAGCGAUGUUUUCUCUCCUUUAAAAGGGCGCUAGAAUUUCGACGACCAGCAUCGGUGGAUCAACUGAGAUAGAAAGGUGAGUUGUUAUUGAUUUUCUCUCACCUUGUGAUAUAAAAGUUCGUGUUCACGAUCCAAUCAGGUGUGGAGAUAUAAAAGGAAUUAAAAGUCGAGGCUCCACCUGAUGUGAUUGAAGGAAAUUCUCAGUUUAGGCGAGCCUGCCUUUGGUUAGAGGAGAAGAGUGUUUAAGGAUAUACAGUUCAACUUCCUGGGCAACCACAGUUUCUUAUUGGUUGUUUCCAAAGGAUGAUGGCAUUAUGAGAGAGCUACUUUGGACUCUUAUAUUAGUUCGGACAAUUAGAAAACGAACUAGAUUAUUAUUUGAAUAUAAUUGUAAUUAGCUGUAUUGCAUGUUUUACUUCAAGAAUUGAAAAGUCUUUCCUGAGGUUAUGAGUACUGGAUAGUACGUGAAUUGCGGAGGAACAUUGUAAUCACGUAGUUGGAAGAUCAAGAUUGUGUCAUAGAAAUUUUAUGAUUUUGGCACGAUGUUUGAAAAGGUAGUACAUGAGCACGAGCAAGGCUUUGUUCAGAUGUUGCGUUCUAAAGUUUAUCGACAAAGGAAUUUAUUCAACUAAGUCUUCUAUUUAGGGAACUUCGAACUUUGGGAUUUUACUUAGAUUUAGUCACUUCCUUAAGUGACGGUUGGAGCUAUUUUCCUUAGACACCAGUUUAUUUAGAUUGAUACUGAUAUCGGAAAGUGUGAUCUUCACAGAUGGUAUUCUUUUCUUAUUUCAAAAAGAGUUAUUGGGAUGAAGGUCGAAAUCCUCAUUAAGUGUCGGGAGAUUUAGGAUAUUCUUGGUCUCAUUGAGGUUAUCAACUAUUGAUGGGCGAACUUACGGCUAUAGUGUUCUGCCUCACUUUUGAUCGAAGAAGUUGGUUUAGUGUGUGAUGUGAGUUGUGAAUAAAGAUCUCAGACGGUUUAAGUGUUGCCUUUUUCUUCAUAUGAUUUUUCCAUCCUUUGGUAACAGUGAGAAAUUUUGGAAUUUAAGGCGACGUCCUUUCUCGGAUGUUGGUUAAGUAAAUGCAUCGAGAUGGGGUAACACUUAUGCUUCCUAGCAGUGGAACCAAUAAAGAUGAAUUAUUUUAUGUGUGUUUGGAGGUAACAAUGGUCAUUUUUCAUUUAAAAAUGGUUGGGUACUUAUUUGUGGAGAAGUGUGUCCAAAAUCUUCAUUAACUUUGGAACUUUUUAAUUACACUUACUUUUGGACAGAGUAAGUUGCUGGCGGCAACAUUGGAAGGAUUAAAUCAACGCCUAUGAUUGCACUAUCGUGUAUUAUCCCGAUUGUGCAAACGUAAUUACUGAGCAUCGUAGCACAGAUGGUUUUUAUCCUAAGUAUUUUAGUCUCCCUCAUUUCAUUAUAGAUGAUCUCUUGAGUAUCAUUGCAACGUUAUUUGGAUUCUUCAAGAAAUUGUUUAAAUGGGUUACAUCACUUACCACAGCCAGAUGCAAACGGGAUAAUUACUAUAAGUUUUUAGUAAGAAGUAUUUUGGUACAUGUGGAAUGAUAGUGAUGCCUUGAUGUUUAGAGAUUGACUUGGCAAUCAGUCCAUUUUUUUUUUCCAUUAAUUCUGAGGGAGCUACAGUUGGAUCACUUAUUAAAAUUACCUUUUGUUGAAAUUAUUGGUUAGUUGGCAUUUUGGUCAACAUCAUUUAUGGUCAUGAGUUCAUAUUCAUUCCUUGUGCUAAGGGUGUAUUUGAUCAACUUUGAUUCAUGCCUACCCUGUUACAGUUCACACUAUUUUUAAGGACAGAUAGUCAUUCGAGAAGAAUUGCUUGGAUAUUGAAAUCUAGUUGGAAUCGUUAAUUCCUCAAUCACCUGUCGAUUACUCUGUGGAUUAGAUCAUUACCGUUGGUGAUUGAGUAUUCUGGAAGUUGUUUUUGGUAAGGGUAAAGACAACCAAUCAGUUGGAUAUCAGGAACUUUGAAUGUGAUGACCUUGUUUGGGGUUCUCGGAUUUUCGAGUAUGCUUUAACCUUCUUGACAUGAUUUUUCACUCAAUCGAUGAGUAAUUCGAUACGUUGUCUCGGCGAAGGCGUGCGCCAGUUUUAUAUCGAUGUGUACAAGAAAUUUUGAAGUACAAUCUCCUCAUGAGUUUAUUGGACUUACCAAAAAGGAAUUUCAUAUGGUAUUGAGAAUUGAAUGGAUUCAGCUGAGUAUUGGUGAAGGUAUGAAGCCUAGUAAUAUUGACGACACUUUCCAUGUAAGAUUGAGAUUACAAUUGUCGCUUGAGUGUUGUCGAGAAAGAUUUGGAUUCUUAAAUUUUGGAUUUCAGAGGUGAUAUUCUUGAUUUGGUGAACGAUGCUAGUGAAUAAUCGCGAAGGAAAUAUUUGAGGAUAUAUGUGUUCUUCUAUACACAUCUUUUCAGGACGUCAUUCCAGGACUUGAUAAUUUGGGGAGUACAUGGAUAUCAAAACACUCCUAAUAGUUAGAUCGAUGCGCUUGAAAAUUUUAUGAUGUUGUGAUCAAGACACGAAUCGGAUGAGUUGGACAUAAUUGCAUUCAAGGAGCAAGAUGAUUCUUACUAACUUAUUGAGACAACAUUGAACUAUCGACAUUACAGGCCGCAAACAGUAAUAUCUAUGGCUUAAUUUUGGGUUCUCUAAGCUAGUAGGCAAGACGGGUCAUCUUUAAUAGUAGUUACUCAUUAGAUAUAAUUCAGACUUAUUCUUGGAGUUCGUGUCAUGACAAAUGUUUGGCAAGGACCAUUUUCAUUUUGAAUCUUGAUUUUUGUGUGUAAGCAUCUUCUAUGAGACUAUUCUAUUUAUUUGAGUAUUUCUGAUUUUGCAAAUGUUGAGUGAGUUAUUUCUACUCUUGGUUUUAAGUUUGGCACAAGUAUUUGAACGGAAGGUUUCUAUAUUUAUAGUUGUUUUUUAUAUCCGUAAACUUUUCUUAAGCCAUUACGGGGUAAGUGAUAUUCUUACUUGACGGAUUUUGUGAAUGUUACAUUACUAUACUGACGAGGAAGGAAAAAGGUAUGAGCUUGGAGGCAUGAAAGAGGAAUAAUUGCAAUCCGAUCGCGACGGAAUGGCACUCUCUUUUAUGCAACCGCUCUAAAUUGAUCUCUUCCUUGUGUAAGUUUUUUUUAUAUAAUGGUACUCUUCUUAUUUUUGAGUAUUUUGCAUCUAGCAAGUUAUUUGAAAUUUCGGGGACGAAAUUUUUAAAGGGGGGAAGAUUGUGACAGCCCGUCCCGGAAAAUAUUGAUUUCUAUAAUUUUUUUUAAGUGAUUUUACGAAAUUGCCUUUCGAGACACGUGUGUUGACGGAGAUUAUUUACGGUGUCAUGACACCUAAACAUUUCUUUCUUGACCUAUCCUUGUAGUACUCGUCACUACGGACGUGUGGGCGCAAGCAAUUCGUGAUUUGGAGCUAUAGCGAAGGAGUUAUUAAAGUUUGAAAUUUGAUCAAUUUUAUUUAUUUCAGAAAAUAUGGAUUCUUCCUUUAUAAAAUCUGGUGUAUUUGGAUGGCCCAGAUUUAAAGAAGAAGAAAUGGAUGGUGCGGAUGGAAAGGAAAGAAAGGAAAGAAAGAAAAAAAAAAAAAAAAAGAGGUUGGGCAAACUGCCCAACCAGAGGGAGAGAUGCAGUAGCUCCAGGAGAGAAAGGAGGGAGCUGGCCGAAUUGGGAGGAGAGAGAGAGAGAGACUGACCAAUCGGAACAGGGAAGGGAGGAAAGGAGAGAGGGUGAGAAGCGGAGGAACAGAGAAGAAACGGGUUGAGGGAACCCGCAACCCGUGUUCAACCCGGUCGGCACCCGUGUGCAAUUUUUACGAUUUCCACCCAUUUUUCCGACGAAUUGAACCACCUAACCACUUGGGAAACACUCUAAGACCUAUCCUCUAUCCUUCCCACCCCAAAUUUGGUGAUAAUUGGCCUCCAAAUUAGCAAAAUCGCACCGUGGGUGCGAUGAACACUAGCCUUCGAUUCUCUCAAUUCUGAAAUGAUUUCUUUCAAUUGCCAGCACCCAUGGCAUCCUCUAGAGGCCUAGAACAAAGCCCAAGCAAUGGUUGGGACGGCGGAGUUGAUUUGAGGACGGAUUGAGCACACCCAAAACCUAGGGUUUCCGACGGGUUUUGUUGAAAUUGGAGGCCUU